AAGGUCACACAGGUGGAGUUUGAGAUAAAAAUUAAAUUCCCAUCUGUCUGACUCCAAAUGCCACACUUCCGCUGGUGGAAAAAGGAUGUCAUUAAUUAAUGACAUUUUCCUUUACUGUCUUCCAAGCAAGCUGCCACGGCUCUUAGUUCACUGUCCCAAGGAGACUCUCCAACCUGGCUGCUGAAAAUAUUGGCCACACGCUUUCUCCAAACAAAUGAAUACUUUAAUAUGUUGGUUUCCUCCUCUGCUGUUUGAGUGUGACCCAAUUCCCAGAGCUUGGUCUCUCUUGUGAAGAUAACAGAAGCCAACGUCCACCCUUGAAAGUGAGUAGCAAGCUCUGCACCGUCACCAGAGUCUGGGCAAAAUCUGGGACUUGAUUGAAAUCAGACAACCAGAGAAACUUCCAGUAGAAAAGCUCGGCACCAUAGAGAUUCCAUUGGGACCAAUCCCACGCCGGGCCGUAUGCUGGACUCCAGGCUCCCGAAAGUGAACACGCCACAGACACUGCUCUGGAAGGUCUUCAAUAAUCCAGUCGCAUAGAUAAACAUGGUGUACCUAGGGCACCUAAGCAGAAUGAUUAAACUGGACCCAGAGAGAAGAGGUGUUUCCCUCAUAACUCAAGGACCUGUCACGGUCUGGAAGAGACAGGAGCAUAAAGGAAGGCAUCCGGAGUAUCAGGUUGUCAAAACCAGCUGCAAGAUGGAGGCCCUGGCACCAAAAGGCAAAAGGAGCAAUUGUCCACAGGGCUAAUGGCUGAAAAUAUGAAUAUUAGAUGGUACAAGUUAAUUCAUGUUCUUAACAGCAGCUUUCAGGAAGGACACAAAACCCUAACCAAUUCCAAAACAAUUUUAAGAGGCAUGCUGGGAAAUUGAAGAAAUGAAAGGUUGAAUUUCUGUUGCUUGGGCAAACAGAAGGGUAAGCCACUCUAAUUUGCAUAGUUAAUGGAAACGUAACUUUAUUGAGCUAUCCUAUGCUGAUGGGGCUUUGGUGAUUGGGUUAUACAACAGGUGAAGAACAAAACCAUGAAGGAACUAUAAAGGAACAGAAAGUAGGAGGGAAAAAGGAAAGUAACAUCUUCUGAGUGCUGUGCACUGGAUGGCACCUGUCUUUGCCCUCAGGUCACCCCAUUCUAGUGCUCACUGGAUCUUCAUAACACCCAUGCAAGGAAGGCAUCUGAUCCAUGUCUUACUAAAGAGCAUGCAGUUCAGAGAGGCCAGUCCACUUAUUCAAGUUCUCAGAAAAUGCAAGUAGCAAUGCUAAUUCUCCAGAAACUCAAACCAUUAUGCUUGUAAGAGAGAUCUUCCUGGUCACUUAGAUUUUUGCCCAAAUUAAAGACAGAUGGGAUGGCUGGCUGGUUCAAUUGGAUAGAACGUAUGACUCUUGAUCUCAGGGUUGUUGAGUUCAGGCCCCAUGUUGGGUACAGAGCUUGCUUCAAAAAAAAAAAAAAAAAAGCAGAUGACCACAGAAUGUUCAUUUAGUUUGGGACACUGACAAACACUGUAUUUAUUUCUUCUAGGAGCAUCAUAUUAUCAUCCAGCAUCAUCCUGUUUAGAUGUUGUCAAAUCUUGCUUCCUUUCUUCCAGACCUUUCCAACCAUAGCAGAUUGACAGAAUUAGGAGAGAAUAUGCUCUUAAUUUAUCUGUAAUUACAGUCUAGAUGCUUCCUUUUUGAUGUGAAGAAGUAUUUUCUCAGCUAGAAAAUUCUUUUUUGUGACAAUUACAUCAAACUGGAUUUCUAGAGAAAAUGCUAGUUGUAUAUGUAUAUAUGUGUGUGUAUAUAUAUAUGUGUGUGUGUGUGUGUGUAUGUAAAUCCAUCUGCAGUUAUAUAUAUUAUAUAUAAUAUAUAAUCCCUUCAAAUUCAGUUAUAUACAUAUAUACAUACAGAUAUUAAUUUAUCCAUCUAUCAUCUAUCUAUAUAUCUAUGUAUACACACACAUAUAAAAUUAUGUAUUUCCAAUUACAUAUAAUUGACCCAUCUGCAAUUUUAUAUAUAUUUAUACUAUUGUAUAUAUAUAUUUAUAUAACAUAUAAUUAUACAAUAUAUAAUUUACAUAGAUCUAAUUGGCAAAUUAGAUGGUGAAGGAUGGAAGCUAAAAUAAGAAUUUAGGAAAAAGCAUGUUUUGUACAUUCCAGAUAUUUUAUCAUGCACCUUAUGUAGUGUUGCCUCAUCUUGUGUUCACCACAUUCUUGAAAAUAGAUAUUUCAAUCCACAUUUUAAAGAUGAAUAAGGAAGCUCAAACAAAUUAAUUUACUUUCUAAGAAUGCAGCACAGUAAGUAACAGAAUCAGUUAUUAACUCUAAAUCUGAACACCUUUGUUAACUAAAGGAAACCAUGCACUUAAUUUUAAAACUGGCUUAAUAUGCUCCCCAUCUCCCGAAGGUAAGGGAUGCUGUCUAUUCGAUAACAUGUUCAUAACCAGUACCCAGAAAAAUGCCUAGUGCAUAGGAGGUGACCAAUAUAUUUGUUGACGAAGUGAUUCCUGAGUGGAAACUCCAUGUGACCUACUGGCAUUGUUCUAGAAACAUCACUAAUGCUCUGAACUUUGUUUACAGAGAUAAAACCUGGAAUGGAAUGCAUAUAACUAGUUCCUAAACCCAAAUCAGGCCUGAAUGACCUAAUAUGUGGGCAGUCCUCCCUCUGAAAGCUAAAACCAAAAUAUAAGGCUCUGAUAAUAUGGUGUGUUUGCAUGAACUCUUGCACUUAAAAAUACAUUACUCUUAGGUAGCUAAUGUCAAUAUUUAGUCUAUAAAGUUUGUCUAUAUAACAGGUCUUGGGAAUCCUCUCUUAAAAGGAAGAUAUUACUCAAAUUUUUCUUUAAAAAAAUCCAGAAUUGCCCAUCUGCAAAUCUGUGUGCAGACUGUUUUCUGGUAUCAUGAGGAUGACCUUACCUCCUCUAUUUAGUCUUAUCCCUCCAAUUUAGAUACACACACACGCACGCACACACACACACACACACACACACACACUGCUUACAGCCUAGUUAGAAAAGCAAGAGAAGCAACCAUAAAUGAUUAACAGCAUAUAUAAGACAAUCAGUCACUGACUGCAAGAUUGGGUAUAGGUCAUGUCAGAUUUAAGACGAGUGAAGGGCAAAUGAAUGUUACAGGAUCUCAGAAAUGUAAUGAGGGCACAGAAAUAUAAUAUACACCCAAGUCAAACCUCUUUGCCUUGCAAAUAGUAGACAGUAACUUGAGCUGACUUACACAAAAAUGGGUAGUGUAUGAUAAGGAUGGAAGGAUAGGUGUCUCCUGGAUGCUCCAGGAGGCAGAUGCUGGGACAGAUUUAGGAAUACAGUGAUUUAUUAGGGGAUAAGGUCUGUGAAAGGAAAAAGGACUGGGAGAAAAACUGAGCAAGGAAAACUUUCAGACUGAGGAUGACCAAUCACUAUGACAGUGAAGGGGGGAAUGAGUAAGAAGAGUCUCAAAGUGAUACAGAUCUAAAAGUUUCAGCCAACUCAAUAGAGAAUCUGGAGUCAAGAUUACCCCUUAGAGAAGUCCUGGGUUGUAUAGAAAUGACUAGGCUCUAGUACAUCCAUUACACUCAAUCACUGACUAAGGGAUGCCAGAAGAGCACAGCAAGAGCAUGGCAAGACCAAGCCCCUGAUAUUGUGAUUGGUCUUGGGCUACACCUGAUCCUCAUAACUCCCACCUCCACUCCCCAUUCUAAACUCUCCACAGCCCUUCAGGUAACACAUCAACUGUUCUCAGUGGCUGCACUAGGCAGGACUCUCCAGAGAAUCAGAAUCAAUAGGAUCUAUCUAUCUAUCUAUCUAUCUAUCUAUCUAUCUAUCUAUCUAUCUAUCAUCUAUCUAUCAUCACAUAUCAAAAGAGAUUUCUUUGAAGGAAUUGGUUGACACAACUGUAAUUGACUUAUAUGUUUGCAGGAUUGGCUGUGCAAGCCUGGAAUCUUUAGGUCAUGCUGACAAAUUGGAAACUUAGGCAGGAGUUGAUGUUGCAACCUUGAGGUGAAUUUCUUCUUACUCAGAGGAACCUCAGUGUUUGCUCUUAAACCCUCCAACUGAUUGAAUGAGGCCCAUCCCAUUAUCAACAGUAGUCUUGUUGGCUUUAAGGGAGCUAGGUGCAGAUGUUAACCACAUCUAUACCAUGCCUUUAAUGCAGCACCUGAUCAAUGUUUAAGUAACUGAGUAUAAAAGCUUAGCUGAGUUGUCACAUAACCAUAAGAGUGGCUUACCUUCAAAUGUGACCCAGAAUCCAAUUCGGCAGUGUGGCAGGAUACAAAAUCAAUGCCCAGAAAUCAGUGGCAUUUCUAUACACUCACAAUGAGACUGAAGAAAGAGAAAUUAAGGAGUCAAUCCCAUUUACAAUUGCACCCAAAAGCACAAGAUACUAGGAAUAAACCUAACCAAAGAGGUAAAGGAUCUAUAUCCUAAAAACUACAGAACACUUCUGAAAGAAAUUGCAGAAGACGCAAAGAGAUGGAAAAACAUUCCUUGCUUAUGGAUCG
rnacentral:lncRNA from 1 species